rnacentral:rRNA from 1 species
UAGGACUCUCGGCAAUGGAUAUCUUGGCUCUCGCAUCGAUGAAGAGCGCAGCGAAAUGCGAUACGUGGUGCGAAUUGCAGAAUCCCGUGAACCAUCGAGUUUUUGAACGCAAGUUGCGCCCGAGGCCAUCUGGCCAAGGGCACGUCCGCCUGGGCGUCAAGCAUUGAAUCGCUCC